CUACAACAGAGUCAUUUGCCAUAUAGCUGUCUAGAUAUUUAAAGUGUCUCCAUCUCUGACUUUAACAUUUUGGCUUCUGAAGAUUUUGUCAUUAGGUAUUAGGCUUCUGCACUGAGCUUCAACUCAAAAGUCAUAUAGAAGGUAAAUGCAAAUGGAAGAUUUGGGUUUGAUUCCUACCCAAGUUAAUUAAACAGGAAAGAAUUUUAAUUCAACUUUACCAUAUCCCAGAUGAAUGUCCUAGUCACUGUCACAUGAAACAUUCAUGCUGGUAUUUUUCAGACACUUCAAGCUUUUCUGCUUCCCACAGAACACAGAAAUACUGCUUGGGGCAGGGACAGGAACCCCUGUGCUUCAAAAUAAUACCUUAAGCAUCAAGGCAGAAGCAGUUUUAUCUUUCUUGCCUGAAAACAAUUUCAGUAAUUCAUCUGGAAAGGGUUAAUUUCCCCAGGAGAAGCAGAAAAAAAAUACCUUAUUUGACAACAGAGCACUUGUAGGGAAGAUUUGGUCUCAGAUUUGAACUAGAGAUCUCAAGUCACAGUCUUAAUGCUUUAUUUAACAGAGAAGACUUUUUCAUGAGAGCAGCUGAUGUGGACACAAAAGGAUCCAGAGGAGGUGCACAUACUCGGAUGCUCCUCAAGUAACAGGAAACCCAUGUCCCACUGAGUGGUACCAGUGCUGGGAGAUAGGACUUGUGAUACAACCUAGUAAAUACACAUCCUGCUGUUGUUUCCUCUCAAUCAGCUCAACACACUCCUAGCUUGGUGUGCUGGCUUCUAGGAUGCCAGUUAUUAAGUCUGUCAUUGGCAAGAGAUGAUGUGUGAGGCACUUGGGUGUUUAGCUAGAGGCUGCUAUUUCUGUCUAGGCAAAGACAGACUCACACAGUACUAAUGCUGAGUAUUGUUGUACUCACCCUUGGUGAUGUUCCCAAAGAUUUACUGUCAUGGAAACAUAAAAGUGAGCCCAGAACUCCUAAUUUCCAUUCUAGUGUCUUGCUCUCUACGAGAUGCUUUUCUACCAACCUGUUGCCCUGUGGAAAUGAUUCUUAAACUAGGAGAGGCAGAUUUACUAUCAAGUAUCCUGUGGUGGUGACAAUGUGCAAUAAUGUACAAUGAGAAUCCAUUAGAAUUGAACCUGUUACAAUGGGAUAGGAAGUGCUCCAAGAACUUACCAGUAUUGUUUUCUCUCCUUUAAGAUGAGAGCAGAAUGCUAGCAGAGCAUAUUUCCUGGAUACUUUAUGAUGUUGGCAGGGGAGGUGAAGAUUUUCCAGAUAACUUCUUUACUUCUGCUUCCUUUCUUCCUAAUGCUGGGCUUUUUAUCUCAUCUUGGUUUACUUUUACCUGUAGAAGUCUUGCAAAGCUCUGCACAGUCUUACAGCUUGGUAGCAGUGUCAAGGAAACACUGGAACAUCCUUUCCAACUCAGCCCUGGGAGACAAACACUUUGAGAUGCACUUUGAUGUGCAGCUUUGAAGUAGAACUUGGUUCGGAGCUCUGCAAGAGGGCUUUCUAAAGUCUUCUGUACUGCUAGUUUUGAAACAAUGACUCCACAGAGCAUUUCAGAAUAGAGUUACAUUUUAAUUGCAUUGUCAAGUUUAUCCUUAUUCAACAAGGAAACCUCCUGUACUCGACUUAAACUUACUUACACAAUUUGCUGAACCAGCCCUCUAAAGAUGACCUGCUUCUUCUUCACAGCACUCUAUUUUCUACCUUUUAGCUACAAUCCUAGCACAUCCACAGCAGGGAGUAUGACCCUGACACCGUGUCCUAAGAUUACAAACAGUAGAAUUGGAGAUAAAAACAUUCUGAAGAUAAAUUCUAAGUCAUCUCUUCCUCUUAAGGGUUAAAUUAGACCUACAGUAGCAAUCCCACUCUGCGGAUAGGCAUAGUCAGACACAGAUAUACAGACAGAUACACCAAGAAGGGGCAUUCAUGCUUUUUUUCACUUAAUAGGACACAUAGGGUUUGGGUUCUUUCCCUUUACGGGAAUUCUUACAGACUUCAAGACGCGACAUUGAUGAGAGCAUGCUGUCUCCUGCCUAAACAAUUGCAAAUGAUUUUAUUAAGAAAGAGAAAUCUUGGAAAAGCAUCUGCUUUAAUAAACAAUUUCUCUUUCUUAUCCUGACAUAAUAGGUGCUGACAAGAAAGGAGCACGGAAGUCUUAUCUUCCAUGAGGCAUCUCACAGUAUCUGACAGUUGCAUUCAGAGUUGUGUUUGGGCUGGAAUUUUCAAAGGAGUGCAAAGAUGCAGGUACUCAAAUUCCAUGUGAAUUGGAGCCUUAGUUCUUGAGGUGCUCUGAAGCUAAGACUUACUCUGCUGCAAGAAAUACUCUAUGCUGCAGAGAGACAAGACAUUGUUAAUCCAAACUGCAGUGAGACAAAUACAGGAUGACAUGCACAUCAGAGCCAUGCUAAUUAAGUUUAUGAAAUCCAUGCUGGUUUACUCAGGGAAGACAAUCAAAAAAUGGUUUAAUGGGAAUAAGUUUUAUGGUGUGUGAUACCAUGGGCAUGGAAAGAGAGUUAUCAGUCCCAGGCAUCCUCUAAGGGCUAUAAUAAAAGAAGGGAAGAUGCCCAAGUCUACUUCUGCUUCUUAGGAAGAAGUAUCACUAGCUCUUUUAGCAGCAAGAAUGCUGGAAGAAGGUCAAGGAGGAGGAAAUUAUGUCUCACUGUAUCUCCACUGGUAUUUUGUCAAGACACUGAAAUUACAUUAUCAGCUUUUAUUGGUUUUGAAGCUAACAUUAAGCAAACUGUCCAUAUCUCCAGCUGAUGAGACAGCUAAUGUAUUAGGAAUGAAUAAAUGUGCUCUCACAAAAAAAAAAAAAAAAAAAAAAAAAAAAAAAAAAGUGCCAACAACAUAAAAUCAUAGAAUCAAAAAGAUGAAUUCCAGGCUGAUUGUGAUAUAGUCUCCAACAAGCUUGCCAAAUGUGACACCAAAAUAGUGGUGGAUGGCUGGGAUACCAAAGUAGAAUAGAAAAACGGAGAAGACAGUGAAAGAGAUCUAAUGUUUAUGAUGUAAAAAUCAACAAUGACAUGAGAUUCAUUGAUUUUGUAACAGUUAAAGACACAGCUGAAUAGCACAGAAAAUUUCUUAAAAAUGGUCUCAGGCAUUGAUGUCUAUCUACAGAGGUAACCCCUAUGAAUCAGAUUACAUAUUUUGUCUCAAGACAAAGGCUGGAAAGAAUUAAUCAUGGAGUGGUAGUACAAAAGUGACAAGGAAAUUCAGUAGACACAUUAUAGAUCACAAGGUCCUGGAGAUAUAUUAAAGAAGCAAGCUGGAAAGAUAAUCCAGGAGAAUUCCAAGUAUAAGAGACAAGGCACUGCUUGCAAGCAUGUGGGAAAGUAGAUGGAGACAGUCGUGCAACAAUAAGAAUGUAACUUUUGGUCUGGUGUCAUGCAAAAUGUGACAAAGCCAAAAAAGGGCAUAUGGUAUUUAGGUCUUGCAUAUAUGCAGAGUUUGCAGGAUUUAGUGGAUGAAAUGGAGCAAGAGAAAAAUGUAUGUAAUGUGAGAGCCUUUCACAGGGAGAGUAUGAACUGUGAGUGUGAAAAACGACAGAAUGCAAGAAUGCAGUUAUGGGCAGUGGGAGGGAACACUUCAAUGACUUUUUUAGUACAGAUAGUUGAGCUGUUUGUAGAACAACAACAACAAAAAAAUCAGAGAUUUAAGAGGCAAUUGGAAUUCUCAGAAACAACAAAGGACAGAAUGUUGGGAGUUUAAGAACUGAAUUACUGAAACCAAAAAGAUGAUGGAAAGGUCUUUAUUGGACAGUGAUAUAGGAUAGUUUAAGGAUCAUGGAAACUGACUUUGUUGGAAUGAAAAUAGUUUCUCCAGCAUUUUUUAAAAAGUGUUGAGAUGAAUUAUAAUAAGGAUCAUAACAUUUCUGUGCUGUACAGUUUAUAAAUUCCUGUUUGUGACAUUUUAUAC
ensembl:lncRNA